AGUGAACGCUGGCGGUAGACCUAACACAUGCAAGUCGAACGGCAGCACAGUAAGAGCUUGCUCUUACGGGUGGCGAGUGGCGGACGGGUGAGGAAUACAUCGGAAUCUACUUUUUCGUGGGGGAUAACGUAGGGAAACUUACGCUAAUACCGCAUACGACCUACGGGUGAAAGCAGGGGAUCUUCGGACCUUGCGCGAUUGAAUGAGCCGAUGUCGGAUUAGCUAGUUGGCGGGGUAAAGGCCCACCAAGGCGACGAUCCGUAGCUGGUCUGAGAGGAUGAUCAGCCACACUGGAACUGAGACACGGUCCAGACUCCUACGGGAGGCAGCAGUGGGGAAUAUUGGACAAUGGGCGCAAGCCUGAUCCAGCCAUACCGCGUGGGUGAAGAAGGCCUUCGGGUUGUAAAGCCCUUUUGUUGGGAAAGAAAAGCAGCAGGAUAAUACCCCGCUGUUCUGACGGUACCCAAAGAAUAAGCACCGGCUAACUUCGUG
rnacentral:rRNA from 1 species